CAAAAAAAAUUUGUACUCUUCCUUAAGCUUUCAAUACAAUAGCAUUAGAAAGUUAAUCUAAAUAUAUUUUUUUCAAAAUGCCCCUAAAAUUCAGUGUGAAAAUUACUGUAUGAACCAAUAAAGAAGAACAUUGAAGGCUUUAAAUGGAUAACCCAGUAUAAAUAUAAAGAUAUGAGAGUAGGCAAUAUCAACAUAUAUGAGAAAAUCAGAGUCAGCACAAUGGCAAUGCCCAACAUAUUAAUAAAAGUUGAUGACAAAUAUGAUAGAUUAUUUACUGCUGCAGGCAGAUAUAGAGACAUAUUCACAGCAGAGGCAACAAUUGGCAAUAAGAAAUGUUUGUUGUUGUCUGUUCAUAUUAAAUCCCAACACCUCCUUAGAGAACAUAAGUUCUUCAUUUCUCUCAAUUUAUUUGCUUACUGCCCAACAUUUAGUAAAAUAAGUUCAGAAUUAUGUCAACUGUGCUUCAUAUAAUAUUUCAAUGAUAGAACUAGUGGGAUAGUGCUAUAAAAUCUUACAGUUGAUACAGUUUUAUGCUGCAGAUUGUGGCAUAGUUGUUACCGUGCCCCCGUUUUUUCCAAUUAAGUUUUGCUGAAGAUGUAAUAGCAAAACAAUGUUAACUGAGAUAAUAUUAAACAAAGGCCUACUGUAUUUUAAAUUUUUUUUUAUGAUUAGGGAAU
rnacentral:lncRNA from 1 species